GCAUUAAUUUUUUGCCAGCCCUUUUCAAAAGCAAGACCAAUUCAUUUGCUAUCAAAUUUAUAAACUGUGAACAUAAUUCAAACUCUCAGAAAAUCUCACAAAAAGAAAUGGUUAAAAGAACAUCAAUGGCUACAAUACUACUCACGGUCCUUCUGUUCAUCACCUUAACUCAUUCUUCCUUGGUGCACUCACGCGAACUGGCUCACUCCGAUCACUCGCCAUCACCAGCUCCAGUAAGUUCGUCCCUGCAACUUUUUUUUUUACUUCAGUUUCUUUUGCAUGAUUAUGGACUAUCUUUUAUAAAAGAGAAAAAUAUAGUAAUUAACUUGCCUUAGAUGGUUGGUGGGGAGAUUGCCAAAAGAAGAGGUGAUGGAAGGGCAAAGAAAGGGUCAUUUCCUGCUAGAUGCCAUUCAAAGUGCAACCAGUGCAACCCUUGCUUGCCAGUUGAAGUAUCUAUCCGAUCAAUGGAGUUGAAAGAAAAGGAAUACUACUAUCCUCAAGUUUGGAAAUGCAUGUGUGGGGAUGACAUAUUCUCUCCCUAGUGAUUUCAGAAGAACAAAUUUCUCGAUUCAAUUCAAACGAGCCCUUAAAUUAAUCCGUUUUAUCUGACUAAAAUUUAAACUCGAAAUCUCACAGCUCUAAAGACUAUUCCAAAACCAACUGAGCUACAUCCAAACUGAUAUUUCUUCAAUUCUUUUAAGCUAUAUGUUGAUAUUUGAUUUACU
rnacentral:lncRNA from 1 species